GAUGAACGCUGGCGGCGUGCCUAAUACAUGCAAGUCGAGCGAACGGACGAGAAGCUUGCUUCUCUGAUGUUAGCGGCGGACGGGUGAGUAACACGUGGAUAACCUACCUAUAAGACUGGGAUAACUUCGGGAAACCGGAGCUAAUACCGGAUAAUAUUUUGAACCGCAUGGUUCAAAAGUGAAAGACGGUCUUGCUGUCACUUAUAGAUGGAUCCGCGCUGCAUUAGCUAGUUGGUAAGGUAACGGCUUACCAAGGCAACGAUGCAUAGCCGACCUGAGAGGGUGAUCGGCCACACUGGAACUGAGACACGGUCCAGACUCCUACGGGAGGCAGCAGUAGGGAAUCUUCCGCAAUGGGCGAAAGCCUGACGGAGCAACGCCGCUUGAGUGAUGAAGGUCUUCGGAUCGUAAAACUCUGUUAUUAGGGAAGAACAUAUGUGUAAGUAACUGUGCACAUCUUGACGGUACCUAAUCAGAAAGCCACGGCUAACUCCGUG
rnacentral:rRNA from 1 species